rnacentral:rRNA from 1 species
AUACGUAGGUGGCAAGCGUUAUCCGGAUUUACUGGGUGUAAAGGGCGUGUAGGCGGUUCUGCAAGUCGGGUGUGAAAUUUCCGGGCUUAACCCGGACGGGUCACCCGAAACUGCGGAACUUGAGUACUGGAGAGGAUAGUGGAAUUCCUAGUGUAGACGGUAAAAUGCGUAGAUAUUAGGAGGAACACCAGUGGCGAAGGCGGCUAUCUGGACAGUAACUGACGCUGAGGCGCGAAAGCGUGGGGAGC